rnacentral:tmRNA from 1 species
GGGGGCGACCUGGUUUCGACGUGGUCGGUUCUCCGGUAGAGCUGCAAGCCGAGGUCCCCGGUCGGCCUCGUAAAACAACCGGGAAACACCGUAAGUGCGGAUAACGAACUCGCACUCGCUGCCUAACUUCGGUUAGGUGACGCGUCGCUCCGAUCUCGGCCCGUGGAUCGGAAUCCGGCGUCAACGAACGGGCUCGCCGCCGAGGGAGAGCCAAUCGCCCAAGGCGGGACCGCCAAAGGAUGGCUAGCCCGGCGGUAGGCCGCCUGCGAGCCGGCCGGCGGGCGAAGCGAAAUCGCAGGACAAGCUUGUAGAUGCUCUUCCCGGUGCGUCCGCGGACGCGGGUUCGAUUCCCGCCGCCUCCAUUU